rnacentral:rRNA from 1 species
UUGGUGACCAGCGGAGGGAUCAUUACCGAGUUUACAACUCCCAAACCCAAUGUGAACGUUACCAAACUGUUGCCUCGGCGGGAUCUCUGCCCCGGGUGCGUCGCAGCCCCGGACCAAGGCGCCCGCCGGAGGACCAACCAAAACUCUUAUUGUAUACCCCCUCGCGGGUUUUUUUAUAAUCUGAGCCUUCUCGGCGCCUCUCGUAGGCGUUUCGAAAAUGAAUCAAAACUUUCAACAACGGAUCUCUUGGUUCUGGCAUCGAUGAAGAACGCAGCGAAAUGCGAUAAGUAAUGUGAAUUGCAGAAUUCAGUGAAUCAUCGAAUCUUUGAACGCACAUUGCGCCCGCCAGUAUUCUGGCGGGCAUGCCUGUCCGAGCGUCAUUUCAACCCUCGAACCCCUCCGGGGGGUCGGCGUUGGGGAUCGGCCCUGCCUUGGCGGUGGCCGUCUCCGAAAUACAGUGGCGGUCUCGCCGCAGCCUCUCCUGCGCAGUAGUUUGCACACUCGCAUCGGGAGCGCGGCGCGUCCACAGCCGUUAAACACCCAACUUCUGAAAUGUUGACCUCGGAUCAGGUAGGAAUACCCGCUGAACUUAAGCAUAUCAAUAAGCGGAGGA